rnacentral:rRNA from 1 species
GUGAGCAAACCACAGAAACGGCGUCCCAGUUCGGAUUGCAGCCUGCAACUCGGCUGCAUGAAGCUGGAAUCGCUAGUAAUCGCGGAUCAGAAUGCCGCGGUGAAUACGUUCCCGGGUCUUGUACACACCGCCCGUCACACCAUGGGAGUCGGGAAUGCCCGAAGUCAGUGACCCAACCGAAAGGGGGGAGCUGCCGAAGGCAGGCCUGGUAACUGGGGUGAAGUCGUAACAAGGUAGC